GACGUAGGGGGCGAGCGUUGUCCGGAUUUAUUGGGCGUAAAGCGUGCGUAGGCGGCUGCGCAAGUCGGGUGUGAAGCCCCGGGGCUCAACCCCGGAACUGCAUCCGAUACUGCGUGGCUAGAGGUAGGUAGGGGAGAUCGGAAUUCCUGGUGUAGCGGUGAAAUGCGCAGAUAUCAGGAGGAACACCGGUGGCGAAGGCGGAUCUCUGGGCCUUACCUGACGCUCAGGCACGAAAGCUAGGGGAGCGAACAGG
rnacentral:rRNA from 1 species